rnacentral:rRNA from 1 species
UACGUAGGGACCAAGCGUUGUUCGGAUUUACUGGGCGUAAAGGGCGCUUAGGCGGCAGAUCAAGUCAGCUGUGAAAUCUCCGAGCUUAACUCGGAACUGUCAGCUGAUACUGUUUUGCUAGAGUGCGGAAGGGGCAAUCGGAAUUCUUGGUGUAGCGGUGAAAUGCGUAGAUAUCAAGAGGAACACCUGAGGUGAAGACGGGUUGCUGGGCCGACACUGACGCUGAGUGCGCGAAAGCCAGGGGAGCAAACGGG